rnacentral:snoRNA from 1 species
AUCCUUUUGUAGUUCAUAAGCGUGAUGAUUGAGUUAUCAUGCGACUGCAUGAGGUGUGCCACCUAUAAACCUUGUUACGACAUUGGCACAUUACCCGUCUGACA